CCUACGGGAGGCAGCAGUGGGGAAUUUUGGACAAUGGGCGAAAGCCUGAUCCAGCAAUGCCGCGUGAGUGAAGAAGGCCUUCGGGUUGUAAAGCUCUUUUGUCAGGGAAGAAACGGUGNGGGCUAAUAUCCUNUGACUAAUGACGGUACCUGAAGAAUAAGCACCGGCUAACUACGUGCCAGCAGCCGCGGUAAUACGUAGGGUGCAAGCGUUAAUCGGAAUUACUGGGCGUAAAGCGUGCGCAGGCGGUUUUGUAAGUCUGUCGUGAAAUCCCCGGGCUCAACCUGGGAAUUGCGAUGGAGACUGCAAGGCUAGAAUCUGGCAGAGGGGGGUAGAAUUCCACGUGUAGCAGUGAAAUGCGUAGAGAUGUGGAGGAACACCGAUGGCGAAGGCAGCCCCCUGGGUCAAGAUUGACGCUCAUGCACGAAAGCGUGGGGAGCAAACAGGAUUAGAUACCCUGGUAGUCCACGCCCUAAACGAUGUCUACUAGUUGUCGGGUUUUAAUUAACUUGGUAACGCAGCUAACGCGUGAAGUAGACCGCCUGGGGAGUACGGUCGCAAGAUUAAAACUCAAAAUGAAUUGACGG
rnacentral:rRNA from 1 species